rnacentral:rRNA from 1 species
UACGUAGGGAGCAAGCGUUAUCCGGAAUUAUUGGGCGUAAAGGGAACGCAGGCGGUCUUUUAAGUCUGAUGUGAAAGCCUUCGGCUUAACCGGAGUAGUGCAUUGGAAACUGGGAGACUUGAGUGCAGAAGAGGAGAGUGGAACUCCAUGUGUAGCGGUGAAAUGCGUAGAUAUAUGGAAGAACACCAGUGGCGAAAGCGGCUCUCUGGUCUGUAACUGACGCUGAGGUUCGAAAGCGUGGGUAGCAAACAGG